GUAGGAUAUGGUGAUGUGUAUCCUACUAAACCUGUCGGAUACAUCGUAGGAACUGCUUGUGCCGUUAGCGGUGUCCUCCUAGUUGCUUUGACUAUUCCAGUCAUUUCAAACAAU
rfam:Lottia gigantea unplaced genomic scaffold LOTGIsca_1, whole genome shotgun sequence.